ACCCGACUUCAAGUUAAGAGCGACUGCUGGCAACUUUACUAACCAGGUUACAAGAACCCCUUUCUUGCGAAUUAUAGUCGCAUGGUUCUUUGAAGUGGCGCCUCUUUAUUUGUUCAUUCAAUAAAUAUUUAUGGAGUGUUCCCUCUCUGCCAGAUACUUUCGGGACCCUGUGAAGAUGGCAGGAAACGAAACAGAGCAAAACUAUUACAUUCAUGGUAGUAACAUUCCUGGGGGCAAUGGGGGAAGACAGGUAACCCGCCGAAUGAGCAAGUGAAAGAAUAUACCAGGUGUUGGUAUGGACGGUGGAGAAAGAUAAAUCAGGGAAGAGGGGGGAUCAAGGUGUGUGUGGGGGCACUGGGGGGACAAUUUCGAACAGGACGGCAGGGAAGGUAACGUUUGAGCAGACAUCCAAAGAGUGCAAGCAGGCUCUGGGGUAAAAGCCUUUUAAGAGGAGGUGAGUGGUGCCGAGGAGACUGCCUGGCAAGUCAGAGGACAUCAGGGUGCCUGAGACGGUGAGCAGGAGAAGACAAGGUUGGGAAGGGCUGGGGGUGGGAGGUGCUGGCCCCUGAGGGCCUUGGGACCUGUAAGGACUUGUGCUUUUGACUCCUGCUUAAAAGCCUCACUUUUCGGAGUUCCCGUCGUGGCUAAGUGGUUAGGGAAUUCAACUGGGAACCAUGAGGUUGAGGGUUCAAUCCCUGGCCUCGCUCAUUGGGUUAAGGAUCUGGCAUUGCCGUGAGCUGUGGUGUAGGUUGCAGACGCAGCUCGGAUCUUGUGUUGCUGUGGCUGUGGCUGUGGCGUAGGCCAGUGGCUACAACUCCGAUUAGACCCUUAGCCUGGGAAUCUCCAUAUGCCGCAGGAGUGGCCCUAGAAAAGACAAAGAAAAAAAAAAAAAAAAGCCUCACUUUUCCCUCCUGUGCUCAGAACCUGGUCCUGCCUCCUCCCCCACCUGCCAACACAUACACUGUUUCUCUGUCGGGCCCCCGGCAGCCGUGACUCUCACAUUGGAGAGUCAUCAGGACCACGGGGGAAGGGCGGAAAAUCGGAUGGCUGGGGUCCACCCCUGAGUUUCUGAGGCAGGGCCUGGGAACCUGCCACUCUAACAAGCUCCCAGGAAAGCACGGCUGGCGUCCUGGGCAGCACCAGCUGCACACUUGGAAAAAGGAAAAUACAGACCCCUUGUUCAAAGAGCAGGGGAAAAAAAGGCAGUUAAAGGAGCUGACUCCUGCAAACUUCAUUUCCCUGGCUGUCCUGCCAACCGCUGCCAGCUAGAUUCCAUCACUUGGAGGCCACAGAGAAAGACUGGAUGACUGGAGGAAGGGAGGAGCCAGGUAUUUCUCCUUGCAUCUGAGCCUCAGUUUUCUCCCCUAUACAAUGAAAAAACAAAAACAAAAACCAGAAACACAAAAAACCCCAAUAGUAUAUUUUCCCAGAGUUUCUGUGAGAAAUAAGGCAUGCAAAAUGCUUAGCACAAUAUCUUCUAUAUAAAAUAAACAUUCAAGGGCCAGAGCUGUUACUGCUUUUAGCCUUGCUUUGGUAAGUGGGAAAGUGCAGUGAUCCGUUAGUGAUGUCUGCCAAGAGUGCAGUGUGGUAGAGUAGUGAUAUGUGAGAGGGGUACUUACCAAGCCCAGGAUCUUGAAGCUGUAUUGAGAGAUCUGGCAAAUGACUUCGACAGACUGGUAAGGUCUUGGGAGAAAUGGAAGAUCUGGGAUGGUGAUAUCAAAAGUAGACGUGGACGAUGAAAGAGAAAGUUGAGGAGAGAAGAUUCUGAAUUCAUUUUUAGACAAGGUGUUGAGCUUUUUCCAAAAAAAUAAACCCCAAAGCAAAAGCAGUGAUACCCUUGAGGGAACCUCAAGAGAUUGGGGAUUUUGAUAGAAAUACUGGUGUGCGGUGAGUUAGCAAAGAAAACCAUUAUACCAGCUACAUGCUCAGACUUUACAGACAACUGGAAACCGAUGUGGGAGACCAUGGAAGCCCCAGUUACCAAAGUCUGGUCUCCUCUUCAUAGGAGAAACCAUUGUUCUUUGCUUAGUGAGUCUUCCCUGCUCAGGCUUCUCUCUGUUUCUGUCUCUUUCCAGUUUUCCUCCUCUUGCUUCUGUGCUGUGGUUAGAAUCUGUGUCUUGCAUUCAAGAUGAUUGGACUUGAGCGUACCAUUUAGUAUGGAGUUUCUCAACUGGGUUGUGUCCUCAGCUCAGGCCGCCUCCCCGUUUCCUUAGGUCUGGCCUUUAUUGGAUUGGCUUCUGGUCUUUGACUAUGUGUAGCAGCCUCGGCCAGCAUAGCAAUCACCUGACACAAAGUCUCAAGGUCCACCCUUUUCAGAAUGAGCUGUGUAACCAACUGUGAAACCAGUAGGUUUCAUGGUGUAGACAUGGUAAGUGAGUUGGAGAUAUCAGCGAGAUCUCUAUGAAGCUGGAAAAGUAAGACUGGGUUGUGGUUGAGAGAGCAUCGAGGAGACUUAAUUACAUCUGAUAUUAUACAUCUCAUGCAAAUUUGAUCAGAAAAUAUCAAAACCUGUCCAAGGCUCAGGGCAAAGAAAUCAGAAGUUAUUUAUGGGGGGGUGGGGUAAGAUGGUUCUUCCAGUGGAAUCCAGAAAAUUAGACACUUUACAGAGGAAGAGAUUUUCUUACUGUUCUUCAUAGGAACUUCACUAAUUUCUUAGAGGAACAUCUUAGAAAUUGGCUUGGAAGAUUGGGUGUGGUGAAGUUAGGGUUUUCUUACUGCUUUGAGAGCAAAAUAGUCUACAGUUAAGGAAAACAAACAAAACAACCCAACCUUCUGUGACUCUUCCCAGAACUCUUCAAAUCCAGGACAUCCAUCACACCGUUGGAAUUUGAGGGGCCCACCAGAGCUUGCAAUACGCAUAUUCUAAGGAGAAGCUGAUACAAGCCCACUCAUUUGUAUUUCUUUAAACACAAAGUGAG
rnacentral:lncRNA from 1 species